UACAGAGGUCUCAAGCGUUGUUCGGAAUCAUUGGGCGUAAAGGGCGUGUAGGCGGUUUGCUAAGUCAUGUGUGAAAUCCCUCGGCUCAACCGGGGAACGACGCUUGAAACUGGCAAGCUAGAGUACCAAAGAGGGGGGUGGAGUUCCCGGUGUAGCGGUGAAAUGCGUAGAUAUCGGGAGGAACACCUGUGGCGAAGGCGGCCCCCUGGUUGGAUACUGACGCUGAGACGCGAAAGCGUGGGGAGCAAACAGG
rnacentral:rRNA from 1 species